GUAUAAUUUAUGUUACAAAUCUGUUAUGCAAAAAUGUUAUGAAUUUCAUGUACAGAUAUCAGCCUUAACAAUGGUCUGUUGGUUAUGUCACUGGACUAGCUGCAUAAGGGUCCAGGCUUCAAUCCCAGGUUCAGGCAAAAGUUUUUGUGACUUAUAAUCAGUUCUGUUGCAUCAUGGGAUUAGUCAUGUGACCUCAUCCACUGUCACCUCAUCCACUGUCACCUUCAGUUUGAAAGGUCUCCAUCUUGGAGAAACAUGUCAUGAACUAUUGCAGAACACAGAUUUUCUUGAACCUCAACACUGAUCAUUUCAACGCUAACGUUCAAAGGAAAAGCAUGUUAACGGAUACAAAAGAAUGAGCUUUUCAUUUAUUAUUGUCAACGAAUAACGGACAAUAAACAUCAAUUGAGAGUA